rnacentral:tRNA from 1 species
GGGGAAAAGCUCAGUUGGUAGAGUACUUGCCUUGCAUGCACAUAGACCUGGGUUCAAUCCCCAGCACCA